CUACGGGAGGCUCCAGUGGGGAAUCUUGGACAAUGGGCGCAAGCCUGAUCCAGCCAUGCCGCGUGAGUGAUGAAGGCCUUAGGGUCGUAAAGCUCUUUCGCCAGAGAUGAUAAUGACAGUAUCUGGUAAAGAAACCCCGGCUAACUCCGUGCCAGCAGCCGCGGUAAUACGGAGGGGGUUAGCGUUGUUCGGAAUUACUGGGCGUAAAGCGCGCGUAGGCGGACUAGUCAGUCAGGGGUGAAAUCCCGGGGCUCAACCCCGGAACUGCCUUUGAUACUGCUAGUCUAGAGUUCGGGAGAGGUGAGUGGAAUUCCGAGUGUAGAGGUGAAAUUCGUAGAUAUUCGGAGGAACACCAGUGGCGAAGGCGGCUCACUGGCUCGAUACUGACGCUGAGGUGCGAAAGUGUGGGGAGCAAACAGGAUUAGAUACCCUAGUAGUC
rnacentral:rRNA from 1 species